rnacentral:rRNA from 1 species
AUUGAACGCUGGCGGCAGGCCUAACACAUGCAAGUCGAGCGGAUGACGGGAGCUUGCUCCUUGAUUCAGCGGCGGACGGGUGAGUAAUGCCUAGGAAUCUGCCUGGUAGUGGGGGACAACGUUUCGAAAGGAACGCUAAUACCGCAUACGUCCUACGGGAGAAAGCAGGGGGCCUUCGGGCCUUGCGCUAUCAGAUGAGCCUAGGUCGGAUUAGCUAGUUGGUGGGGUAAUGGCUGACCAAGGCGACGAUCCGUAACUGGUCUGAGAGGAUGAUCAGACACACUGGAAGUGAGACACGGUCCAGACUCCUACGGGAGGCAGCAGUGGGGAAUAUUGGACAAUGGGCGAAAGCCUGAUCAAGCCAUGCCGCGUGUGUGAAGAAGGUCUUCGGAUUGUAAAGCACUUUAAGUUGGGAGGAAGGGCAGUAAGUUAAUACCUUGCUGUUUUGACGUUACCGACAGAAUAAGCUCCGGCUAACUCUGUGCCAGCCGCCGCCGUAA